CUUGCUGAUAUGUAUCAAAGGUGGAAGGAAGGAGACUGACAGAAUGGGAGCAAGAGAGGAAAACAGGCUAAUCUUGGAGUCUGGACCUCUGUGAGAGAAAGGAGUCCUGAGUGGAGGGUACCUGAGCAACCUGAAGAGAAACUAGAUGAUGAUAUACCCUGCACGAAGAAGUGGAGGGCUAGGCAGGCAGAUUAUAGUUCAGAUCCAGAUGUUGAAUGGGAGAGCAGCUGCAGCCUUGCAUUUCACUUUGGAAAUUAAGGAAGGUGACCGGGACCAUGCUUUGGGUAAAGCAAUACAAGGGAGUGAUGCAGGAAUGCAAGGUAAGUGCCUCCAGGGAAUGGACAGCGACCAGCAGCAGGGUCGUCAGUGUCCCCAAGGGUGGAGGGCAGGAAUGGCUUCGAACCAGGAGGAGACUAAGUCAGCAGGAAACAACCAAGGCAAACUCCUGGUAGUAAGACUUCCCUUUAAUUUGUGGAGAGGAGUCGAACGAAGCCUGGGCUUUUACUGACAAGUGAGAUGAGACUUAAGUUGUUGUAAUUUAGAGACUGGGAGUAAAUUGAUAUCUCGUCUGCAUAGGCUGUUGCAUAUUAGUUUUCAAUUGCUGCUGAAACAAAUUACCGCAAACUUGGUGGCACAAGUGGCAACACAAAUUUAUUAUCUUACAGUUCCGGAGGUCAGAAGUCCAAAAUGGGUUUGCAGGACUGUUCUUUCUGGAGGUUCUAGGGCAGAAUCUGUUUCCUUGCCUUUUCCAGCUUCUGGAGACCACCUGCUUUCAUUGGCUCAUGGCUCCUUCCUCUAUCUUCAAAGUCAGCAGUGUGGCAUCUUUCAAUCCCAUUCUCUGUUCCUCUGCUUCUGCUAUGGCAUCUCCUUCUCUCUGAUUCCGACUCCUCUUGUGUCCCUUGUGAAUACAUUGGGCACACCGAGGUAAUCCAGGAUUAUCUUCCC
rnacentral:lncRNA from 1 species